GAUGAAGAACGUAGCGAAAUGCGAUAUGUAGUGUGAAUUGCAGAAUUCAGUGAAUCAUCGAAUCUUUGAACGCACAUUGCGCCCUUUGGUAUUCCAAAGGGCAUGCCUGUUCGAGCGUCAUUUGUACCCUCAAGCUUUGCUUGGUGUUGGGCGUCUUGUCUCUAGCUUUGCUGGAGACUCGCCUUAAAGUAAUUGGCAGCCGGCCUACUGGUUUCGGAGCGCAGCACAAGUCGCACUCUCUAUCAGCAAAGGUCUAGCAUCCAUUAAGCCUUUUUUUCAACUUUUGACCUCGGAUCAGGUAGGGAUACCCGCUGAACUUAAGCAUACAAUAAGCGGAGGA
rnacentral:misc_RNA from 1 species